CAGUAGCCGCGGGAAUACGAAGGGGGCUAGCGUUGCUCGGAAUGACUGGGCGUAAAGGGCGCGUAGGCGGAUGGCACAGUCAGAUGUGAAAUUCCCGGGCUUAACCUGGGGGCUGCAUUUGAUACGUGUUGUCUAGAGUGAGGAAGAGGGUUGUGGAAUUCCCAGUGCAGAGGUGAAAUGCGUAGAGAUGUGGAGGAACACCAGUGGCGAAGGCGACUCUCUGGUCUGUAACUGACGCUGAGGAGCGAAAGCGUGGGGAGCGAACAGGAUUAGAUACCCCUGUAGUCCCUGUCUCUUAUAC
rnacentral:rRNA from 1 species